GAUGAACGCUGGCGGCGUGCUUAACACAUGCAAGUCGAACGAUGAAGCUCAGCUUGCUGGGUGGAUUAGUGGCGAACGGGAGAGUAACACGUGAGUAACCUGCCCUUAACUCUGGGAUAAGCCUGGGAAACUAGGUCUAAUACCGGAUAGGAGCGCCUACCGCAUGGUGGGUGUUGGAAAGAUUUAUCGGUUUUGGAUGGACUCGCGGCCUAUCAGCUUGUUGGUGAGGUAAUGGCUCACCAAGGCGACGACGGGUAGCCGGCCUGAGAGGGUGACCGGCCACACUGGGACUGAGACACGGCCCAGACUCCUACGGGAGGCAGCAGUGGGGAAUAUUGCACAAUGGGCGAAAGCCUGAUGCAGCGACGCCGCGUGAGGGAUGACGGCCUUCGGGUUGUAAACCUCUUUCAGUAGGGAAGAAGCGAAAGUGACGGUACCUGCAGAAGAAGCACCGGCUAACUACGUG
rnacentral:rRNA from 1 species